rnacentral:rRNA from 1 species
UACGGGGGGGGCAAGCGUUGUUCGGAAUUACUGGGCGUAAAGGGCUCGUAGGCGGCCAACUAAGUCGGACGUGAAAUCCCCAGGCUCGACCUGGGAACUGCGUCCGAUACUGGAUGGCUUGAAUUCGGGAGAGGGAUGCAGAAUUCCAGGUGUAGCGGUGAAAUGCGUAGAUAUCUGGAGGAAUACCGGUGGCGAAGGCGGCAUCCUGGACCGACAUUGACGCUGAUGAGCGAAAGCUAGGGGAGCAAACGGG